AGACUCUAGAGUGUGGAGAGACAAGUGAUGACCACAACAGGGACGUUGUGUGAAGGCUGCACGUGCCCUCACCCUACAGACUUGUGGGAUACAACGACACUUUGUCUACAGGACGAGUGGUCAGGAAACUACAACCGGACAAACAUCUUCACAGACACUAGCAUGACAGUCACGUGAUUACUGGCCGUAACCACUCGUCCUCACUGAUGUCUGUAACUUAUUUAGAAACCGGAUAUUAGGCUACAGGAACUAGAGAACACAAUCAGCUACUGUUCACGUUUAUCUUUCUCUCUGUAUGUCGAGGUGGUCGCCUACACACAAUGUUUGAAGACUCGGCUACACAACUAAGAAUAAUCGUGUACAUCACAGUCCUUGUCUUGUUCUCGUCGUUUUAUUACGGGUACAUUGUACUGAGCUGCUUGCUUUACACACACAAUUGUAUUUAGCUCUUAGUUGUUAAUAUACAAGGUCCUAAGUUUAUUUUUGUUUAUUCCUUGUUACUCCUCGGGGAGCACAGGGCCACAACAACACCUCGCCAGUCUUCUGUUUCUGGGAUGUUCUCUCAAUGUAUGCCUGGUGCGAAGACGCUCUUUAAGAACAUGUCUGACAUGAUACAAUGGCGACAUUAUCGCAAGUUUUGAGAGCUAACCCUAAAAGGGACACAACCAGGCGAUGUCAGCAUCCUGACGAGAGCUGCAGUGGUGACGAUGUGCGAUGCUGGCUGAGACUAAAGUCGUCUGCCGCCCUCACAUCACGUGACUCAGGAUGCACUCAGUCCUCGUUUUCCAUAGUCUUCCAUUUUACUGACAGUCGUGCGCUGUUUUCUACCACAGAAUCCUGUCAUUUCUCUCUACCUUCAGCCUUCCGUGUCCUGUCACCAUGCUCUGAUACUUCACACACUGAGGUGAGUGUCAGCGACAGACACACUGACACUGUCUGAUCACUGUCAUGUCACAAGACAGAAAUUCAUGUUGUCCUCAAUUGUGACGUCACAUAAGACAACUGUCAACAAUGUCUGGUCAUCAGCCGUGUGCUCAACAAAAGGGACAGCGCACUAAAGGAAAAGGAAUCAAACAUUAUUUUGGAGGUCGUGGCCGGGUGGAAGUCUACCUACACACCGUGACUGACCAACAGGCUGAGCUACUGACUGACACAGAGGGCCGGUUGUCCAGCGCUUGUUAGGCAGAAAAUGCUGAUGCAAAAGAGCGCGAAAAGU
rnacentral:lncRNA from 1 species